UACGAAGGGGGCUAGCGUUGUUCGGAAUUACUGGGCGUAAAGCGCGUGUAGGCGGGUCCUUAAGUCAGGGGGGAAAUGCCAAGGCUCAACCUUGGAACUGCCUUUGAUACUGGGGAUCUUGAGUCCGGGAGAGGUGAGUGGAACUGCGAGUGUAGAGGUGAAAUUCGUAGAUAUUCGCAAGAACACCAGUGGCGAAGGCGGCUCACUGGCCCGGUACUGACGCUGAGAUGCGAAAGCGUGGGGAGCAAACAGG
rnacentral:rRNA from 1 species